CUGAAAUUGCUUCAUACAAGUAUGCUUUUCGUUCUAUUUGACUGAAAAUGGGGAAUUUAUGAUGUACAUUUUCCUUAUAACUUGAUUUUCUUGUACUCUUACACUAUGUUCAUGUUAGUGUAUGUACAUGGGUCGUUUCAAAUUUUGAUGCAAGGUAUGUCUUGGGGAUGCUGUUGCAGGUUCUUCUUAGUUGAAAGCUUUGGCUAAAAGCUAGUCUUGGGUGCUUUUGGGAUAUUGUGAGUCAGUGUAUCCUAAAAGCUGCUUCUGUAAUGCAUAUGGCCACAGUAGC
rnacentral:misc_RNA from 1 species